rnacentral:rRNA from 1 species
GACACGGUCCAGACUCCUACGGGAGGCAGCAGUGAGGAAUAUUGGUCAAUGGGCGAGAGCCUGAACCAGCCAAGUAGCGUGCAGGAUGACGGCCCUAUGGGUUGUAAACUGCUUUUAUAAGGGAAUAAAGUGCGGGACGUGUCCCGUUUUGUAUGUACCUUAUGAAUAAGGAUCGGCUAACUCCGUGCCAGCAGCCGCGGUAAUACGGAGGAUCCGAGCGUUAUCCGGAUUUAUUGGGUUUAAAGGGUGCGUAGGCGGCCUUUUAAGUCAGCGGUGAAAGUCUGUGGCUCAACCAUAGAAUUGCCGUUGAAACUGGGGGGCUUGAGUAUGUUUGAGGCAGGCGGAAUGCGUGGUGUAGCGGUGAAAUGCUUAGAUAUCACGAAGAACUCCGAUUGCGAAGGCAGCCUGCUAAGCUGCAACUGACAUUGAGGCUCGAAAGUGUGGGUAUCAAACAGGAUUAGAUACCCUGGUAGUCCACACGGUAAACGAUGAAUACUCGCUGUUUGCGAUAUACAGCAAGCGGCCAAGCGAAAGCGUUAAGUAUUCCACCUGGGGAGUACGCCGGCAACGGUGAAACUCAAAGGAAUUGACGGGGGCCCGCACAAGCGGAGGAACAUGUGGUUUAAUUCGAUGAUACGCGAGGAACCUUACCCGGGCUUGAAUUGCAGAGGAAGGAUUUGGAGACAAUGACGCCCUUCGGGGUCUCUGUGAAGGUGCUGCAUGGUUGUCGUCAGCUCGUGCCGUGAGGUGUCGGCUUAAGUGCCAUAACGAGCGCAACCCUUGUUGUCAGUUACUAACAGGUUCCGCUGAGGACUCUGACAAGACUGCCAUCGUAAGAUGUGAGGAAGGUGGGGAUGACGUCAAAUCAGCACGGCCCUUACGUCCGGGGCUACACACGUGUUACAAUGGCAGGUACAGAGAGAUGGUCCCUUGCAAAAUGGAUCAAAUCCUUAAAGCCUGUCUCAGUUCGGACUGGGGUCUGCAACCCGACCCCACGAAGCUGGAUUCGCUAGUAAUCGCGCAUCAGCCAUGGCGCGGUGAAUACGUUCCCGGGCCUUGUACACACCGCCCGUCAAGCCAUGGGAGCCGGGGG